ACGCCGCGUGAGUGAAGAAGGUUUUCGGAUCGUAAAACUCUGUUGUUAGAGAAGAACANGGACGUUAGUAACUGAACGUCCCCUGACGGUAUCUAACCAGAAAGCCACGGCUAACUACGUGCCAGCAGCCGCGGUAAUACGUAGGUGGCAAGCGUUGUCCGGAUUUAUUGGGCGUAAAGCGAGCGCAGGCGGUUUCUUAAGUCUGAUGUGAAAGCCCCCGGCUCAACCGGGGAGGGUCAUUGGAAACUGGGAGACUUGAGUGCAGAAGAGGAGAGUGGAAUUCCAUGUGUAGCGGUGAAAUGCGUAGAUAUAUGGAGGAACACCAGUGGCGAAGGCGGCUCUCUGGUCUGUAACUGACGCUGAGGCUCGAAAGCGUGGGGAGCAAACAGGAUUAGAUACCCUGGUAGUCCACGCCGUAAACGAUGAGUGCUAAGUGUUGGAGGGUUUCCGCCCUUCAUUGCUGCANCAAACNCAUUAANCACUCCNCCUGGGGAGUACGACCGCAAGGUUGAAACUCAAAGGAAAUUGACG
rnacentral:rRNA from 1 species